CUCUCCCUCUCUCUCUCUUGCUCUCUCUCUCCCUCUCUCUCUCUCUUCUAUCCGUCUGCUCCCUGCUCUCUCAUUCGCUCCACCGGCUCGUCGCCGGCUGUUAGUUCAUUUGCCGCGGCAGAGCAACAACUGGCUUCUUUCAGAGCUGGGAGCAAAGAGGGGAAGGCGAGAGCGACGGUAAGAGUGGAAGAAGAAAAAGUGGAGGAGGACAAGAAGGAGAAGAAUAGGAGAAAAGGAGGAGGAGGAGGAGAUCUUUUGUUAGGCAUCCAUCCCUCCCCUCAUCCCUCACUGGAAGCAGCAGCAUCAGCACCACUGCCUCCACCACCGCCGCUCCUGCUGCUGGAUCCUCCGUCUCCUGCCGGGAUCUGCCUCCUCCUUCUCCUCAGGGAGCUCCUCCUGAAACUCGGAGGGGGAGGGAGAUCACCACCUCCCAGCUUGCCGUGGACCCUCAGCAAGGAUCAGGAGGAAAGAAGGAAGAAGGAAGGGGGGGAAUUUUAGAAGAGGCCAUCAGGAGAGCAGAGGAGAGGCAACACCCUGGUUUACAGGAGAGCAAAGAAGAAGAAGAAGAAGAAAAAAAGAGGAAGCAGUGGAGAGAGCAAGGAAACCAAAUCUCAUCACGGCAUGAGGACCUCCAGAGGGCCCCAGUACAGAGGAGCCAUUGAUGGAGCCUUGCCUCACGCUGCAGCGAGGCGUCUUCAAUCAAUGUGGCUGCCCCACUCUCUCUAUAUGUGUAUGUGUCUGUUUGCUACUGGAGCCUGAAGGGGGGCUGCUGAUGGCUGCGGCGAUGGCCAUGGUGGUGGUGGUGGUGGUGGUGGUGGUGGUGAUGAUGAUGCGAUGGCAGUGGUGCUGCUCACGUGGUUUCUGGCUUAGCUCCCCGUGUUUACUGAAAGACUCUCUUCGGUGACGGGUAUUCUUGGGUGGAUAAUACGGAUCACGUUGUUAUUGCUUAAGAAUACGCGUAGUCGAGGAGAGUCCUCUCUUCGCCCAACACCAGCAACACCCCCAAUCCCCCGACACCCACCCACCCACCUCACCCCACUCCAACUACCCACCCACCCAUGGAGGACUGUCAGGAUGGGUGAAGCCACACCCCCACUCGUCACCUUUUCAAAGAGAAUAUCCCACUUCCUCUUUGAUCUGUACUGCACUGCAAUGUUUUUCUUCCCUGCCCACUUCCUGUCAGCUGAGCCACAGUUCAAGGUUGAGAGCGUCCUAACGUCUGUCCCACCGUGCAUCUGUUAGUCUGCCUCUGUCUCGAUGGACAGUGUAGUAUGUGUGUUUUGUUUCUCUGUGUGUGUUUGUCAGACUUGUUGUUGAGAGACUGUUUUGUCUCACAGAGAAAAUCUGGCUCUUUGUCACGUCUCACAACAAUUUCUGAUCUUGUAAUUCUAUCUGCUUGAAAAACACAUGGCCAGCAUGACAGCCUGCACACUAACACAGACACGUCUUAUACCAUUAAGUGUCACCAUAUUUGGAGCAGCAUUUGUGGCCUUGUGGCUGUGACACCAUUGUGUUUUUUAACUGGCCCCAGGGCAAUAAUGGGCAGUUAACCCCUCGUUCCACUACCUUGACCAGGGUGUGUUGGCCGACAAUUAGAUUAAUCACAAAUAAUUUCAAAACAUGGAACAUGAAAAUACAAAAGUGACAUAUUCAGAGUCUACAAACAAUAUUUUGAACCGGACCGCCAGGAUUAGGAAAUAAAGCUGGAGCAACCUUCAGGCCCUUAUCAUGUCUGUUGAUAUUGUAUUUUAAGUGCAUGGUUUAAAACCUAUUUUCAAGUAAAUCAGCACAAACCAGUACAAACUCACUCACUGAGCUCAGAGCUGUUGUGGGUCCUGGAGCUCUGCGGCCCGAACGCAGUUGCCUGCUUUGUGGUCAAUAAUCCAGCUUUGCAGACUAGGUUCAUCUGCAGGCAUAUGUAUAUGUAUA